UAUAUUCUCGACUUCUCAAUCUCUCGUUUACCUCACACCUGAACCACCCCACCUUACAAAAUCUCUCCAUCUCUCAUUUUUUCUCUGUCAACCGCCGAAGUCCCAAGGCUUCUCUUCGCGCCACCACCAUCACCGCCGGCAGAGAUCUCUUGGCUAAAGGCCGAGCUCUCCUUCUUCUUCUCUCGGUGUUCCUCUUGCAUCUCAGAGUUCUCUAUCUCUAUCUCCGGCCAAGUUAGGCCAAGGAGAUUCAUUCCUCCACCGCCGGCGACAUUCUGGCGACCUUCCACCUUCUCUGGCCACGGUUGACCAGAAUUUCCAGAGUCUUCCCAUCUCUCUCUCAGUUGCCUCUUCUCUCUCUUGCGGGUUCUUGAUUCCAAGUUUAGGAGUGCAAUAUUUCCUAAUGGAUCAUUACCGCGCUUCAUAGGCUUGCCACCAUGGUAUAUUAUUUCCAUUUUUCCCAUUGUUCUCAUUGCACAUUGAGGACAAUGUGCGGUUUAAGUUUGGAGGUUAAUAAGGUUCAAACAGGCUAAAAACAUCCUAUUAAGCCCUUUUUGGAGUUUGGAAUAAAUUCCAGAAAAAGUCAGAAAAUCUGACUUGAAGCAUUGGCAAUUGAUCGAAGAUUCAUCCCCGAUCAAUUGAAGGACUUACGAUCCAUCAUACCCAUGUUAACAAAGGGUUGCUGCCACCUCAUCAUUCAUCCAAAGUGGCGAUCGAUCGAAGCCAUUGGCGAUCGUUCAAAGUGCCAUGUCAGCAUCAGUUAAACAGAUAAGGUUGCUAGUUGUCAAGAUAAGUAUGUCACUUCAUCUUUGAUCGAUCGCAGCCAUUGGUGAUCCAUCGAAGACCUCGGUGAUCGAUCGAAACCUUACUGGCAGUGAGCUGUUUAAUUCCCGAGCGCGCCCGAACUCCACCUAACUUUUGGCUGCAGGAUUACACCAAUGAAAAGGCCAUUUUCUGAGUUGUUGCCUGUACAAAGAAGCAUGUAUUUAAAUCAAAUUGAACCAUUUUCUAACUUUUGUUCCACUUUUUGUUCCAUGAAUUUUACAUACAAUAGUCUAUAGCUAGUUUUAGUUUAUCUCUCUAGAUUUUAGGGUUUUAUGGAAUAAAAGAGGCAAGAAAAGAGGAAGAAGAUAGAGCUCAACUUGAAGAAAUCCCUCGAGGGUUCAAUGACCACAUCCAUGAGCAGCUAAAUAAUUCUCUUAGAGGUUGGAAAAUCCCUAGGCUAGUCUUCUAAACCCUAGACCUUUGACAUUUUUGGGGAUUCUAUGUUGUAAUAAAUGUUUUAACCUUGAGAUGAUAUAAAUCUUGAUUUUAUCUA